rnacentral:tRNA from 1 species
GUUAAUGUAGCUUAAGUCUAAAGCAAGGCACUGAAAAUGCCUAGAUGAGUCUUAUGACUCCAUAAACA